UCUCAUUUCUCUAAAUGCACUUCGAGGACCGAGCAUCGAGGAGGCUCUCUGGAGGAGCUAUGAUCGAGGAUACACUGAUGCAUCCUCCACGGCUCCUCCACGGAUGCAUUUCCGGGAACGGUGGAGUAUAAAAGAGGCGUGACACACCGCUGCAUUCAUUUCAAAACCAUGGCGGGAGCAAAGCACACAUGGACAGAGCAAGAAACUCUGACCCUCAUCAAAGUGAGGGUCGAGAAUGAUGAGCUUUUCACAGGCCGAAGGCACACUGCCAAGAAAGCCUGGGAGGAAAUUCUAAAGGCCCUUGGGCUAUUAGGUUCUGUAACCCCCACACAGAUCGGAAAAAAGUGGGACAACUUGAAAUGAAAAUACAAGGGACCGACGGGAGAGGCCACAGCAGCCACAUGGCUGUAUUUUACGGCCAUGCAUGAGGCCAUCGGUGGGAGGCCAUCCAUCGACCCUCCCACCCUGAUGGACUCGGCCACUGCUGCUGUGAAUUCUGGCAGUGGCUCAACAUCCACUGAGGCUGUCCAGAGCCAGGCCACAGUGGAGGAUGAGGAGGUCACCAAGUCUGCCUCGGACAGCCAGGAGGAUGUUGAGCCAUCCACCUCUGCCAGUCCCCCUCCCCGACAAAAACCCCCGCAGUUUAUUGCAAUUCCUGGAGGCGGAGGCGGCCAAGGAGGAGGACCGCUUCAACCGCCAGCAGGCAGCCAGCGAGGACACCUCCAAAAGAUUCCUGGAUUUAUUUGAAACAUUAGUUCGAAAAGAAUAGUUUUCGUUCUUUGUUUGGUUUGGAUUUGUUAUAUUGUUUUGUGUUAGGUUUAUGAAAAUAUUUAAAUUUGGAAUACAAAUUAAGUUUGUCGUUAAAUCAAGCAUGUAGCCUUCUUUACAGUUCGAAAUACAGAACAAAAAUCAACACAUGUUUACUGAAAAGAUACAAGGAGAUCUUUAUUUUAUACAAAGCUGAAUAUGUUGUGAUUGUGACAUGACUAAAAAGCCAACGUUUUUAAACUCAUUGUGCAACCCAAGGUACACUGAAACUCAUGAUGACCAUUUUAAUUUCUGAAUUGUAAAUCUCCACCUCAAAUAAUUCUGCGCCUAAACCAACCAUGUGUAAAUUAUCCAAAUGCAAUAUCAGGGAUGUUGUAUUAAUAAAUCAAUAAAAAGUGAGUCAAGUUACAGCAUCGCUCAAGCCCUAUAAGUACAUUUACUAACACAUGUAUCUUCUUUCUUUUAAAGUUCAGUCAAAGCAUACCAAUAUUUUAUCACUGAACAUGACUCGAUUUCAACACUAAACGUAACACUUUCAGUCGAAAUUGUGUGAUGGCCUAUUUCACAUCCCAUACCAUUUGUAAUAAAGACAUGUGUCUGUAAA